GAUGAACGCUGGCGGCGUGCCUAAUACAUGCAAGUCGAGCGAACCACUUCGGUGGUGAGCGGCGAACGGGUGAGUAACGCGUGGGUAACCUGCCUCAUACAGGGGGAUAACAGUUAGAAAUGACUGCUAAUACCGCAUAAGACCACAGUACCGCAUGGUACAGGGGUAAAAACUCCGGUGGUAUGAGAUGGACCCGCGUCUGAUUAGCUGGUUGGUGGGGUAACGGCCUACCAAGGCGACGAU
rnacentral:rRNA from 1 species